rnacentral:misc_RNA from 1 species
UAUAGCUUCUAACAUGUCUUCUGCAGGUAAGAUGAGAUACAUAUCGGACAAGCCAUUCUCAUCUCUUCCUGGAAGAGAAAGAUUACCUGAUGUACCUCUAGAGGGAGACAAAUUACAUCCUAGAGGGAGGUGAUUAUUCAUUAUCAUUAAUUGUCAUUCAGUUUUUCUUUUUUCAAGGCUUAUGUUUAGUGUUACCUGAUUUUAUUCAGUGACAAUUUAUUCAGGGAUGAAACUUAUGAGGGUUCCCGCAAGUUCUCAAGAGAAAG